GACGAACGCUGGCGGCGUGCUUAACACAUGCAAGUCGAACGGAAAGGCCCCUUUGGGGGUACUCGAGUGGCGAACGGGUGAGUAACACGUGAGUAACCUGCCCUUGACUUCGGGAUAACUUCAGGAAACUGGGGCUAAUACCGGAUAGGAAUCCUUGCUGCAUGGUGGGGGUUGGAAAGCUUCGGCGGUUUUGGAUGGACUCGCGGCUUAUCCGCUUGUUGGUGGGGUAGUGGCUUACCAAGGCUUUGACGGGUAGCCGGCCUGAGAGGGCGACCGGCCACAUUGGGACUGAGAUACGGCCCAGACUCCGACGGGAGGCAGCAGUGGGGAAUAUUGCACAAUGGGCGGAAGCCUGAUGCAGCAACGCCGCGUGCGGGAUGACGGCCUUCGGGUUGUAAACCGCUUUCAGCAGGGGCGAAGCUUGUGGUGACGGUACCUGCAGAAGAAGCACCGGCUAACUACGUG
rnacentral:rRNA from 1 species